GCCGGGCGCGGAGGCUCACGCCUGUAAUCCCAGCACUUUGGGAGGCCGAGGCGGGUGGCUCACCUGAGGUCAGGAGUUCAAGACCAGCCUGGCCAACAUGGUGAAACCCCGUCUCUA
rfam:Gorilla gorilla gorilla genomic chromosome, chr20, whole genome shotgun sequence